GGGAACGUAGUGUAAUUGGAUAAACACAUCGGUCUACGAAACCGAAGAGUGGGGGUUCGAGUCCCUCCGUUCUCG
rnacentral:tRNA from 1 species